GACGAACGCUGGCGGCGUGCUUAACACAUGCAAGUCGAACGGUAAGGCCCUUCGGGGUACACGAGUGGCGAACGGGUGAGUAACACGUGGGUGAUCUGCCCUGCACUUCGGGAUAAGCCUGGGAAACUGGGUCUAAUACCGGAUAGGACCACUGCCUGCAUGGGUGGGGGUGGAAAGCUUUUGCGGUGUGGGAUGGGCCCGCGGCCUAUCAGCUUGUUGGUGGGGGGAGGGCCUACCAAGGCGACGACGGGUAGCCGGCCUGAGAGGGUGACCGGCCACACUGGGACUGAGAUACGGCCCAGACUCCUACGGGAGGCAGCAGUGGGGAAUAUUGCACAAUGGGCGCAAGCCUGAUGCAGCGACGCCGCGUGAGGGAUGACGGCCUUCGGGUUGUAAACCUCUUUCAGCACCGACGAAGCGCAAGUGACGGUAGGUGCAGAAGAAGGACCGGCCAACUACGUGCCAGCCGCCGCCGUAA
rnacentral:rRNA from 1 species